rnacentral:rRNA from 1 species
CACGAACGCUGGCGGCAGGCUUAACACAUGCAAGUCGAGCGCCCCGCAAGGGGAGCGGCAGACGGGCGAGUAACGCGUGGGAAUCUACCCAUCUCUACGGAAUAACGCAUGGAAACGUGUGCUAAUACCGUAUACGUCCUUCGGGAGAAAGAUUUAUCGGAGAUGGAUGAGCCCGCGUUGGAUUAGCUAGUUGGUGGGGUAAAGGCCUACCAAGGCGACGAUCCAUAGCUGGUCUGAGUGGAUGAUCAGCCACACUGGGACUGAGACACGGCCCAGACUCCUACGGGAGGCAGAAGUGGGGAAUAUUGGACAAUGGGCGCAAGCCUGAUCCAGCCAUGCCGCGUGAGUGAUGAAGGCCCUAGGGUUGUAAAGCUCUUUCACCGGUGAAGAUAAUGACGGUAACCGGAGAAGAAGCCCCGGCUAACUUCGUGCCAGCCGCCGCGGUAAAAC